rnacentral:rRNA from 1 species
GACGAACCGUGCGAACGUUGUUCGGAAUCACUGGGCUUAAAGGGCGCGUAGGCGGGUCAGCAAGUCCGGGGUGAAAUCUUUCGGCUCAACCGGAAAAGUGCCUCGGAUACUGCUGGUCUUGAGGGAGGUAGGGGUUUGUGGAACUUCUGGUGGAGCGGUGAAAUGCGUAGAUAUCGGAAGGAACAUCAGUGGCGAAAGCGGCUUCCUGGACCAGCACCGACGUUCAGGCACGAAAGCGUGGGGAGCAAACAGG